rnacentral:rRNA from 1 species
UACAGAGGUCUCAAGCGUUUGUUCGGAUUCAUUGGGCGUAAAGGGUGUGUAGGUGGCGCCGUAAGUCGGGUGUGAAAUUUCGGAGCUUAACUCCGAAACUGCAUUCGAUACUGCGGUGCUUGAGGACUGGAGAGGAGACUGGAAUUCAUGGUGUAGCAGUGAAAUGCGUAGAGAUCAUGAGGAAGACCCAGUGGCGAAAGGCGGGGUCUCUGGGACAGUUUCCUGACACUGAGACACGAAGGCCCAGGGGGAGCAAAACGGGGAUU